UACAGAGGGGGCAAGCGUUGUUCGGAAUUACUGGGCGUAAAGGGCGCGUAGGCGGCCUGCUAAGUCGAACGUGAAAUCCCUGGGCUCAACCCAGGAACUGCGUCCGAUACUGGAAGGCUCGAAUCCGGGAGAGGGAUGUGGAAUUCCAGGUGUAGCGGUGAAAUGCGUAGAUAUCUGGAGGAACACCGGUGGCGAAGGCGACAUCCUGGACCGGUAUUGACGCUGAGGCGCGAAAGCCAGGGGAGCAAACGGG
rnacentral:rRNA from 1 species